rnacentral:rRNA from 1 species
UACGUAGGGGGCAAGCGUUAUCCGGAUUUACUGGGUGUAAAGGGAGCGUAGACGGUAGUGCAAGUCUGAAGUGAAAGGCGGGGGCCCAACCCCCGGACUGCUUUGGAAACUGUGCUGCUAGAGUGCAGGAGAGGUAAGUGGAAUUCCUAGUGUAGCGGUGAAAUGCGUAGAUAUUAGGAGGAACACCAGUGGCGAAGGCGGCCUGCUGGACUGUAACUGACGUUGAGGCUCGAAAGCGUGGGGAGCAA